UACGGAGGGUGCGAGCGUUGUCCGGAAUCAUUGGGCGUAAAGGGCGCGUAGGUGGCCUGCUAAGCGUGCGGUGAAAGUCGGGGGCUCAACCCCCGAUCGGCCGUGCGAACUGGGAGGCUUGAGCACUGUAGAGGCAGGCGGAAUUCCGGGUGUAGCGGUGGAAUGCGUAGAGAUCAGGAAGAACAUCGGUGGCGAAGGCGCUCUGCUGGACCAUAACUGACACUCAGGGACGAAAGCUAGGGGAGCGAAUGGG
rnacentral:rRNA from 1 species